CCCCGUACACAAAAAUGCACAUGCUGUGAGCUCGAUGAGUAGGGCGGGACACGUGGUAUCCUGUCUGAAUAUGGGGGGACCAUCCUCCAAGGCUAAAUACUCCUGACUGACCGAUAGUGAACCAGUACCGUGAGGGAAAGGCGAAAAGAACCCCGGCGAGGGGAGUGAAAAAGAACCUGAAACCGUGUACGUACAAGCAGUGGGAGCACGCUUAGGCGUGUGACUGCGUACCUUUUGUAUAAUGGGUCAGCGACUUAUAUUCUGUAGCAAGGUUAACCGAAUAGGGGAGCCGAAGGGAAACCGAGUCUUAACUGGGCGUUAAGUUGCAGGGUAUAGACCCGAAACCCGGUGAUCUAGCCAUGGGCAGGUUGAAGGUUGGGUAACACUAACUGGAGGACCGAACCGACUAAUGUUGAAAAAUUAGCGGAUGACUUGUGGCUGGGGGUGAAAGGCCAAUCAAACCGGGAGAUAGCUGGUUCUCCCCGAAAGCUAUUUAGGUAGCGCCUCGUGAAUUCAUCUCCGGGGGUAGAGCACUGUUUCGGCAAGGGGGUCAUCCCGACUUACCAACCCGAUGCAAACUGCGAAUACCGGAGAAUGUUAUCACGGGAGACACACGGCGGGUGCUAACGUCCGUCGUGAAGAGGGAAACAACCCAGACCGCCAGCUAAGGUCCCAAAGUCAUGGUUAAGUGGGAAACGAUGUGGGAAGGCCCAGACAGCCAGGAUGUUGGCUUAGAAGCAGCCAUCAUUUAAAGAAAGCGUAAUAGCUCACUGGUCGAGUCGGCCUGCGCGGAAGAUGUAACGGGGCUAAACCAUGCACCGAAGCUGCGGCAGCGACGCUUAGGCGUUGUUGGGUAGGGGAGCGUUCUGUAAGCCUGCGAAGGUGUGCUGUGAGG
rnacentral:rRNA from 1 species